CCGUUUUCCCCAAACCCGACGCCGAUCUCCUCCUCCCCGAUUCCCUCUGCCCGAGCCCCUCUCCGGCGAUUUCUCCUCUCCGCCUCUCGGUGUCGCCGGCGCAAGCAACCACCGGAGCUUUGCAGGGCGGGUUCUCCGUCCUCUCCCUCUUGAGGUGUGGAUCCCUCCUCCCUUCCUCUCCCUCCUCUUCCUGCCCUAGAUCGUCGACAGAGAGGUCUCGUCCACUGCGAUUGAGUUCUUGCUGAGUUACCGGAGAUAGGACGUUGGAGCUCGAAGGGUACCAAUCAUCUCCGGCAGAGUAGGCAUCCUGGUGGUUGUUUCUUGCGAGCGAUCGAGGUGAUCCGGCGGAGCUAGGGCACGGCAGCGGGGGAAUUGGUUCGCAUCUCUCUCGGUAGAUUGAGCUCUCUCAGUUCUUCUCCUCUAUCUGUUCACUGGAGUUUGACUUGCAACUCCAAAAUUGCUGGAUCGAAGUGGGCGACAUCACCAGGGAGAGUUUAAUUGAGAGGAAGCAUUGGACCAGUAUGUGGUGGAUCUUCCCAGUUGCCGGUCACUGCCAAGUCUAUUUCUUGGAGUUGUGGAGGUCUCGGCUGAAGAGUUAGGGAUCUGUUUGAGCUUAUGGCAGUGGGUUGUAGGGUUGUUAGCUACUGGUUUGCUGCCAUCCCUCAAGGACUUGGAUUCGGGACGAGUGUCUCGACAUGGGAUUUUCGGAUGACGAUCGACAGAUUAAGGCGGGUAUUUCUUCCUUUACCUCUAUGUAGAUUUUCUUGUACUUAGUGCAUGGUUGCUAUCCGAUGGAUUAGACCGCUUUACCUUAUAUCAUAUCUGUUUGUUGAUUUCCUGCUAGAGACUUAUGC